rnacentral:tRNA from 1 species
GUUUCUGUAGUUGAGAUCAGCGGCGGCUUUUCAGGCCGCAGACCUUGGAGCAAAACCAAGCAGAAAUU